rnacentral:rRNA from 1 species
AUGAGUGGGAGAGAGAGAAGGAAGGAGAGGAGGGAGAAAGAGAGAGGAAAGAGUAGCUGGAGGUGCGUCGACCGGCGUCGGCAUGUGCUGGCAAGGUUGGGCGGGACCGGGCGGUUGGCUGCGGCUCCGUGGUUUCAAAUGGGGCACCGUGGGGAGCCAGGGAGGCGGCUUGGCCCAGCCAUGGCGUUGGUGCUGCGGAGCGCCGCCUCGCGCUACUUCGUCGUCGACACUGCGGGCUUCGCCACCGCCUACGCGAUGCCGCCCCAAGGGGAUCAGCAGCAGCCCCCCUCGCUGUAG